UACGAAGGGUGCUAGCGUUGUUCGGAAUUACUGGGCGUAAAGGGCGCGUAGGCGGUGUGUCAAGUCAGGCGUGAAAGCCCCGGGCUCAACCUGGGAACCGCGCUUGAGACUGGCACGCUCGAGUUCGGGAGAGGAUGGUGGAAUUCCCAGUGUAGAGGUGAAAUUCGUAGAUAUUGGGAAGAACACCGAUGGCGAAGGCAGCCAUCUGGACCGACACUGACGCUGAGGCGCGAAAGCGUGGGGAGCAAACAGG
rnacentral:rRNA from 1 species